AAGAUCUCCUCCUCCGGCCGGCGGGAGGGCGCGCGUGCGUGGGGGUCUCGCAACAAAUGGACGGGCGGAUGCGGAGGGAGGGGGGCGUCGGGGUGUCGGUCGGCGAGUCUCCACGCCUUAAUGCGGGUUAGGUGGAUCACGGGGCGGUGGCGUCGCGCCGCUUUACGCCACCGUCCCCCCCGCACGGCCGGCGCGUCAGGUCAGUCAGCGACGACGACGAACCACACCGCCCGCCAUGCCGGCUCGCGUGCGGCGCCUGGGGGCGGGGUGGGGUGGGGUGAGCGGGCCUUCGUGGUUGUUCGGUUAUUCCCCCCGAUGGGGAACGAAGAUAAUUGAGGGCGAAUAAUUUCACAUUAGAUGUAAAAUAAAUCUCUUUUUAAUCAUUUAUGAUUGGGAUUAACCGAACAAGAUCUUAGUGGGGAGAUCAGUGGAUUCAGCGGUGUUAGCUGACAGGGUUUGCAAGACCGCGAAGACUUCCGAAGCGCCGUCCAGUGUAGCGAUUAAGAUUAUCGUGGUUUUUAUACGGUUUCGUGUGGUUUUGUUCCACGAUAAUCAUGAUUAUCACGAACCGCGGCGAUUCGGAUAACGGUUUGACGAACCAAGUAACCGCUCGAUUCGUAAUUGCAACCCGUGGUGAGAGUCACCAAUUGGCUAUAUAUAUAUGAUAGGUUAGUUAUAAAGGAUUUAAUAGUUUUUCUAUCUCUUUCUCCC
rnacentral:lncRNA from 1 species